CUGUGCAGUAGGGGGAAGGACCUGGGGCAGGAAGAUCGGCUGGAAAGCCACCUCCGACAGCAUGAGAGACUACGUCCAGGUCCCUGCGGCCGACCUCGAAAAGCCUUACGAGCUGACUCCAACCAGGGAGUCCACCGCAUUCCUGUGCCUGAGAGUGUGUUGCUGCUGUUCUGCUUUGCGUCCUCGCUACAAACGCCUGGUGGACAACAUAUUCCCUGAAGACCCGAAAGAUGGCCUUGUUAAAGCUGAUAUGGAAAAAUUGACAUUUUAUGCAGUAUCUGCUCCAGAGAAACUGGAUCGAAUUGGUUCUUACCUGGCAGAAAGGUUGAGCAGGGAUGUUGUCAGACAUCGUUCUGGGUAUGUCUUAAUUGCUAUGGAGGCAUUGGACCAGCUUCUCAUGGCUUGCCAUUCUCAAAGCAUCAAGCCAUUUGUAGAAAGCUUCCUUCAUAUGGUAGCAAAGCUGCUGGAAUCAGGGGAACCAAAGCUUCAAGUUCUUGGAACAAACUCUUUUGUCAAAUUUGCAAAUAUUGAAGAAGACACGCCAUCCUAUCACAGACGUUAUGACUUCUUUGUAUCUCGCUUCAGUGCCAUGUGUCAUUCCUGCCAUAGUGAUCCAGAUGUACGAACGGAAAUUCGAAUUGCUGGAAUCAGGGGUAUUCAAGGCGUGGUUCGCAAAACAGUUAAUGAUGAACUUCGGGCUACCAUUUGGGAACCCCAGCAUAUGGAUAAAAUUGUUCCAUCCUUGCUGUUUAACAUGCAGAAGAUAGAAGAGGUCGACAGUCGCAUAGGCCCUCCUUCUUCUCCCUCUGCAGCUGACAAAGAGGAGAAUCCCGCUGUGCUGGCCGAAAACUGUCUCAGAGAGCUGCUGGGUCGAGCGACUUUUGGGAAUAUGAAUAAUGCUGUUAGACCAGUUUUUGCGCAUUUAGAUCAUCACAAACUGUGGGAUCCCAAUGAAUUUGCAGUUCACUGCUUUAAAAUUAUAAUGUAUUCCAUUCAGGCUCAGUAUUCUCACCAUGUGAUCCAGGAGAUACUAGGGCACCUUGAUGCUCGUAAAAAAGAUUCUCCACGGGUUCGAGCAGGUAUUAUUCAGGUUCUGUUAGAGGCUGUCGCCAUUGCUGCCAAAGGUUCCAUAGGACCCACGGUGCUGGAGGUCUUCAACACGCUGCUGAAGCACCUGCGUCUCAGUGUGGAAUUCGAAGCGAAUGAUGUCCACGGGGGAUCGAUGGGCAGCGUCAGCUUAAACUCGGCCUCCAAAGACAACGACGAGAAGAUUGUGCAGAACGCCAUCAUCCAAACGAUAGGGUUCUUUGGAAGUAACUUACCAGAUUAUCAGAGGUCAGAAAUCAUGAUGUUCAUUAUGGGGAAGGUACCAGUUUUUGGAACAUCCACUCAUACUUUGGACGUCAGUCAACUAGGGGACUUGGGAACCAGGCGGAUUCAGAUAAUGUUGCUGAGAUCCUUGCUUAUGGUCACCUCUGGGUACAAAGCGAAGACGAUUGUUACUGCGCUACCUGGGUCUUUUCUGGAUCCUCUGCUGUCACCAUCCCUCAUGGAGGACUAUGAAUUGAGACAGUUAGUCUUGGAAGUGAUGCAUAAUCUCAUGGAUCGCCAUGACAACAGGGCAAAGCUUCGAGGGAUCAGAAUAAUACCUGAUGUAGCUGACCUAAAGAUCAAAAGAGAAAAAAUCUGUAGACAAGACACAAGUUUCAUGAAAAAGAAUGGGCAACAACUAUAUCGGCACAUAUAUUUGGGCUGUAAAGAGGAAGACAACGUUCAGAAAAACUAUGAGUUACUCUAUACUUCUCUUGCUCUUAUGACAAUUGAAUUGGCCAAUGAAGAGGUGGUUAUUGAUCUCAUCCGCUUAGCCAUUGCUUUACAGGACAGCGCCAUCCUCAACGAGGACAACCUGCCCAUGUUCCACCGCUGCGGCAUCAUGGCGCUGGUGGCCGCCUACCUCAACUUCGUCAGCCAGAUGAUCGCCGUCCCUGCGUUUUGCCAGCAUGUUACCAAGGUUAUUGAAAUGCGGACGAUGGAAGCCCCUUAUUUUCUGCCAGAGCACGUUUUCAGAGAUAAGUGCACGCUUCCAAAAUCUUUGGAGAAACAUGACAAAAGUUUGUACUUUUUGACCAACAAGAUUGCAGAGUCACUAGGUGGAAGUGGCUAUAGUGUUGAGAGAUUGUCAGUGCCAUAUGUACCACAAGUCACAGAUGAAGAUCGACUUUCUAGAAGAAAAAGUAUCGUGGACACCGUGUCCAUUCAGGUGGAUAUUCUACCCGGCAGCCUCCCUUCUGACGACGUGGUUAGUAACACUGAAGAAAUUACCUUUGAAGCAUUAAAGAAAGCAAUUGAUACCAAUGGAAUGGAAGAGCAAGAAAAGGAGAAGAGGCGUCUGGUGAUAGAGAAAUUCCAGAAAGCACCUUUUGAAGAAAUAGCAGCACAGUGUGAAUCCAAAGCGAAUUUGCUUCAUGAUAGACUUACUCAAAUAUUGGAACUCACCAUACGGCCUUCGAGGGUUGAAAGACGUAUGAAGUGUCUCUUGUAUUUCUUAAACAUCUACACAACUGUUUAAGUAGGAUUUUUGCUUUAGUUUUGGUUAUCUGCAAAAGCAAAAACAUGCGAGAGUACGCUAGUCCUGGGCUGCUGACUGCCCUGAGGCUUUUGUCCCUGUGUUUCCGAUGUUGCGACAGGCGUCUCUUCAUUCAGUUACCGUGUAAUGCCACACUUUACCAGCGGUUAACUUCCCUCCUCAGAAUAGCCCUUCUCUUCCUUUCUGAAAAUGGAACUCGUUCGUCUUAUUCAUGGCAAUAUAUGUUGUCAAUGUAACGAAGUGAGCUUUUUGAAAUGUAAAAAUCCACUCUGCAAUUCAUAUGUGAGCAAUAAAACAAAAUCAAAAUAUUGGUGCCUAAGUACACUUUUAUAAUGGCUAUUUUUACAUUUACUAAAUACAUUUAUUCAGUAUGUUACUGUAGCUAAAAUGAGAAUUUUUAGUGAAAGUCAGGUUGUCGAGUGGAUUCCUCCUCACACCCACUGGGAGUCUCAGACCCGUGAGUGAAGGCUGGUUGUAGGGAGGUGUGGCCAAGGCGAAGGUCACCUGUGAACGGGAGGCGGGGGGCAUGGGGAAGCACAGCUGCUUCUCUGCUAAAUCUUCAGGUUCCUUUUCAGCCCCGCCUCCUUGCUGCAUAAAUUACUGGAAACCUCUGGGACCCUCCCGACCCUGCUGGCCUCGGGGACUUCCUUUAGGCUGCAGCAAAGCAGGCCUGCAGGGCCCUGGGCUGGAGCCCGCCCCUGCCACUGCCUGUCUAAGGGCUGUAGGCAAGGGACUGCCCUUGGGGCUUUGAAGUCCUCAUCUGGAACAUGGUGGGGAGUAAGUCCCACCCUCAGGGCAUGUGUAUGUUCAUUACUGUUCCUCCUCCAGUUGGCAGAGCGGCCUGAGCCCCUGGCAGCUGCCUCUGUCCUGUGGACGCAGGCCGGUCCCCCCACGCUCGGAACCUGUUCUCUAGGUGUGAGAUGAGCAGUCGGGGUGGUUUGCUAUCUCAUGUGCUUUCUUUCCAGCUUUAGCUUGUUGGAUCCUGUUACUAGUCUGUCACCUGAUAAAUUACUAACUUCAAGGACAAGUUCACAUGAAUGAAAAAGCAGGGGAAUGAGCACCAGUCGGCCUCUUCGUUUUCUGUUUGCCUUCGACUUGCACUUUGAGUCAGAGGCGGCCUGUAGGGGGCCCUGUCCUAGUCUGGGUUCUCCUACCGCAGAGCCGAAGGCAGGCUCACCGGCAGGGCUUUCUCUGGGCGUGAUCCCAGGGAACCUCUGAAAUGGAGAAAGGGCUGGUGAAGAGGAUUCUCCGAUGACUUGGCCAUCACCGGGGGAGGGCAGAUCCAGCCUCCGCGACAGCCCAAGGCGUCUCAUGAGGAGAGCUCAGGCCGGUCCACCAGGCGAUGGCAGGCAGCGUAGCGUGUAGCCUUUGGCUUCUACUCAUGGUCAAAGCCCUGUUGGCGUGAAUUGCCCCACGUUUCUGGAUUGCGUGUGCCUGAUGCGGAGCAGUUUCCAAGGGGCCCCACGCCUCAUCGGAGAAGGUAGGAGGUGUGGCCAGCAGGUAGGAGGUGUGGCGGGCCUUGUCAGACCCCACUGCCCAGUGUGGCCGGUCAGAGCCUCGGGAACUGGGUGUCACAUCAGUGUCUGGAACAAGAGGUGGGACCAGAUGGCGUGGAGCUGGCAAAAGACGUCCAGUGUGGCACCACCUUGUCUGAUACUUAAGGACAGGACUAAACGUGGAAGCACGCGGUUAUCAUUUCAAAUACCACCACCCACCCCCCCACCACCACCCCCAUCUUGCUUAAUGGGUCGAUGAAGGGAUUUUUAACCCUUUUCGGUCCAACGUCGAGGCUGACUUGACAGACCAGGCACUAGGAGCAGGUCCAACUUCGAGGCUGAGGUCGACACCGCAAACCGGUUCAACAUUCAAUCCCGUCAAUUAAUUUGGACCAGACUCUUUGAAUUCCAAAAAUAAAAUUGGACCGCAAAGGGUUAAAGAUGGGAUGCCUUUAGUCUGAUAGAGAAUAACUCUCAGCUAGGAGGUGGGCGGGUAUAGUUCCGUUCUUUACAGAAUCUGCGUGUGUCGAGCGGUGCUUCAUUCCUGGCCUUCCAGCCACUGGGAUAAACCCUCAUUUGUGAAAACAAGCCCAGGACCAAGACGGGGUGAGUGGUGAUUCUUCAUUGUGGGGGCGGGGGAGACACAUGCCCCCUCUCCUAGUAACUAGGAUGGCAGGUGUGUUUUUAGGGCACAGACCAAAAGUGCUGUCAUCUCAGCCCUUGGCGUACAUCUUUGGUGAGUUAUUGAUGACUCAUAGGUGACCUCAUAAGACUGGCUGACUACGUACACUCCCUUCUAUUCUUUUUUAAUAGAAGAAAAUUGGCUGCCAGUGAUUAGGGAAUAGACUCCCACACACACACACACACAUUGUCUCUGUCCUCUUACCUUUGCAAUCUAUUCAUGCACCAGUACCUUUUAAAAACACACAAAACCAAGGGCAGAAAAAGCACUGAUUGGUUAUUUAUUGCACCUCCGUCGUGUGCUGCAGGAAGUGGAGCCGCACCUGCGCUACCUCCUGCAGAUGGCAUUCCCAGGGGAGCUGGGAGCACCACGGUCCUCUGUCCCCAGCCUCUGCUCAGAGGAGGACCGAGAGGCGGCUCAGGCCCCAGGGCGCCUGGGAGCAGGGGUGCCUGGCAUUUUCUCCGGGGCUCUAUCUGGGGCCAGGUUGCAGCCUGGCCCCCACGGGACCAAGUGACCGCCCCAGAAACCUCCUGGUUCUCAGGUGUGCGGUGGGGGGCAGGGCCUCCGCGCUGUUCUCCUCGGAGCUGGAGCCCAGGGAGGACGCCGAAAGCCCUCCUUGCCCGCCGUCCUCGCAGGGGCGCUGGGGGCCCUGGCACUCUUGUCUGCCCGACGACUUGAGGCUCUGGUUAAAGAAGGCCGACGCCAUGCACUCAGCCGCCGUCUGCUCACAGGCACAGAGCAGCUUCUCGCACAGGCUCUGGCCCACACCUUUGAGGGCGAGAACAGAGUAGCACCCUGGGCCAUGGGACCACGGAGAUGGAGCCCCCAGGUGGCCUCCGCCCCCCUCUUGAAUCUCUGGGCGUCCAGUGCGCACUUAUGCCGCCACUGGAAAUACUCUCGUCACACCAACCCGCCAAGUCUCAGACACUGGCCUUCCCAGCAGCCCCGGUACACAUGUCAUUUCAGCAGCAGGUGGAGAAGAGGAGCAAAGUAGACACACACGAGCCUGCUUCCUGGAGCCCUCGGCCCUUCCGCCCCAUCCCAGUGUCAGGACGACACGGCAGGCUCGUCCUCCCAGCGCCUGCCACCUGCACCAGGUAUGGGACACUGAGCUCAGAGCUCACAGGGUUGGGACCAGAUCUCUGAAGCUCUGUGGGAGUUCAAGCUGCACAUGCAGUGUCCCUGGAUUCUGCGAGCCUUCAGCUGGGCACGCGAGACCUCAUGGCAUGGUUGCAUAUCACGACAAUAGUACUCUGAUCUGUCACCCAUGGGCUCUCGACCCACACUCAGCCCCCGGUCCCCUAUAGGACAGAAUCAGUGUUUCAGUCUGCGUUCCUGAUCUGGUACCUGUCUAUCUCCCGGCCUCACCUUCCCCCUCAGCAGUCUCCCCACCCCAACUCUCUCUGCUGGCCAGACACAACCAUAUGCUGACCCUGUGCUGCCAGGAGUCCCCAAAAUGCCUCGGUUUUCCUUUCCCUUUCCUUGGAACAUCCACACCAGCAUGGCCUUCGGAAACCUGAGAUCUCACCUCACUGCUCUCCUGACUUCUCCCGUCCUCACUGCCAGACUCUGCAGGCUCCACCUCCUGUUAGCAGUAUGGCAUGAGAUUAGGGGAGUCUCUGACUUGUCUCUCUUCCCUCUAGGCUCUGAGGGACUUGAGGCAGGGAUCCUGCAUGCUCACUGUUUCCUAGUUACCAGUGAAGGUUUGUUGGGUAAGUAGAAAACUGAAGGGAUGGCGCUCCGGGCAAGUGAGAGGCACACAUGAUCCUACAAGGAGGUGCAUGCAGAGGAGGGGGGGGGGGGGACUAAUGGCCCCAGAGGCUUCCCCAGGAAAAUGCAGAUGAGGAAAUGGAGCCAGAGAGUGACAGGCCAGUGCUAACCCUCGCUGUGCUGUAAGAGUGAUGCGCAGAGGGGGCGGUGGCAGUUUCCAGCCAUCCUGCCUGAGGCCCUGAGCAGCCACAGAGGAGCGGAGCUGCAGCCCACCUGGCCCCUCAGCCAGGGCCACCAUCCUACGGGGCCCCUCGGAAGAUGUCACCCGGGAAAGGCUCUGCUGCUUAGGGAAAGGGGCCCACGGGCCUGGUGAGGCCUCGGCUCGAGGUCGGAGGCCGUGGGAGCUUAGGUCCCGAUCCAGCUCAGCGCGGACUCUGCCUGUGUGGCCUGGGCGCCUCCUGGUGCUCUGGCCUGGCCGGUUGUGAGGAGGAACUCGCUCACACAGCAGGAGCUGGGAGCAGACGGCACACGGUGAGCACGCAAUGCGCCCGGCUUGUGUAGCGGCCCGGUGUGCACCUGGCCAGCCCUGUGCCCUGGGCGCGGACGUCGCCUCUGAACUGGAGUCUCCUCAGUGGACUAGGGGUCUAAUACGUGCCUCAGAGGGAAGACGUGUUGGGUCACGCGAUGGAUGAAAAAGUGCUGGGAGAGUGUCUACGCCUGAGUGGUCAUGAUGCUGAGCGGGUGAGAGGAUAACCCACCCGGAGGCCCACGCACUCACACUUGGGGGCGCCGUCUGCGCACAUCACCGGCGGCUGGGGAAGCCUCCCGCGCCGACAGCCCAGCCUCCCCACCUGUUGCAGGCAGCAGUGGUGGGACCAGCAGCACCUACGACCAAGGAGAAGCCUUUACUGCCCAGCUCCCAGCUGCCCCGGGAGCUCCUCAGGGCCUGCUUCUCCCGCACCCCUACACAGCGAGCCAGUGCCUCCCUCCGUGUGCACGGCUGGCUCCUACAUACCACGCGUGCCGGCUCAGGCUGCGCACUGCACAGGCAUCUGAAGUGAAAGUCACUCCAGUUGCCCAGAAUGUAAACCUUGUGGAGGAGCUCAUUUCAGCGCGGCAUCUCGUCACACACAUCGAGACCCACCCUCUCCAGGUGGCUGGUCUGUCAGGCUCUGCCCCUUCGUGGAUGAAUGACUUCAGAUGAGGCCGAGCCUCAGCUGCUCACCCAGAAAACGGGCCUGUGAUGUAAGGAGCCACCCGAGUGAGGUAAGGCAGGCAGCAAGCUCUUUGUGGACCUCGAGUGACGGCCCAGGUGGAGGAGGGCUCUCACUUCUCCCUGCAGGCAGCAUCGGCGCCAUCGCCUGCCACCCUCGCGCACCUACCUGUCCAGGGCGUCCCUGGGUUCGCCUCGCCCUUCUUGCCCACAGUAGCAGCCGUAAAAUUCAAACUCCUCGGGGCACCGGGCUGUCAGGCAGAAGAGCAUCUGCCCCAGCUGCGGCAUCACCUGUGUGUCCUCCCCGGCUCCCAGGCGCAGGAAGGUGGACCUGUCACAGGCUGGGGAGAGAGGAGGACUCAGGUAGCCAGGAGUGCCAGCACGGCGUUCCCAGGAGGGCUCCACGUGGCCACAGUGCGCCCCCUCCCCACUCCUGGAGACUGUCCUGUGCCCAGGCCCUGUCUGGGAUGGUCGUCUUUCAGGGAGAAGUCUUCCUCACCGGGCUCUGCUCGCCCAGGCUCCUCGAUACCUCCCUUGCCCCUCGGCAUGGGGACUCGUCAGGGCCGAAGAUGCUCUUAGGGCCGAAUUUACUACUGAGCAGGACCCAGCAUCCCGGGGGCUCCUGGCUGUCCCCUGAGGCUGCCUGGCUUCGCAGGUCAGCACACCUAUGGGACUUGUCUUCCAGACCUUGGUUCUCUGUCUCUAUUUCUGCUUUUCUCUCUCCACCCAUCCUACUCCCCCUCCUCCUGUACUGGGCAAAACCCCACCUUCAUAGUCUGGGUGGGAAGGACUAAGAAGGCCCAUGCCCCCCUCCCCACACACAGCUGCUUGCACAGCCCUGCAUGGCGCACUGGAGGGCAGUGCCAGUGCCUCCUCUGGGUCCCGCUGCCUGGUGCCCUUGCGGGUGCAGGGCCUGCGGAGGACUAUUGAGACCCAAGUGUUUUGUUCUUCCCAGGAACCUGGCAUGGACGGUGCUGGUGAGCGCUGGCCCAAGGCCUGCCGUUUCUGGGCCCUGCCCCCAGCCCUGGUGCCUGCCGGCCAGUGCCCCUCUCCCAGUCUCGUCUGCCAGGGGACGUGCGGCACCUCCCGUCACAGCCACGUGCCAAGGUCAGUGCGACACAGUGGCCUUGUUAACCGCCUGACCAGAGGCUCUCAGGCCGGGAGGGCAGGCUCCUGUCUGCCUGCUGCUCACCUUGCCCAGUCGUCUCCUCGGGACCGCUUUCGCCGGAUGGCACGGCCAGCCCCAGAGAGUUGAUGCCGGCGGGGACCACCGUCACGCCUCCGGCUGUGGCAGCAAUCUCUGCGGAUCCUGAAAAUGCACAACUUCACAGUCCUCAUCCAAGAGGGCCCAAGAAGGGAUUUGCAGAUGGGCACCAGGUCAAGGCCAAAGGCAGACAGAUGUUUGGGAACAAAGCACCAGACUGAGCUUGCAGACGUCAGAGCUGCGUCUCGGGGGUCCGGAAUGCUGCGUGGGUCCCUGGUUUCCUAUGAUAACUGUGAAACUGACGGGCCUGGCUAGACCCUCUGGAUGACAUCUGGUGGGUGAGAACCGUCCCCCUCAGGCCUACCUUUGUGUCGUGUCCACACUCAUGCGCCGGCCAAGUGAAGUCCCAUCACAGUGUCAACAAGUGCAGGGACAAGAAUGGUGGGGAAGUUAGCCCGACGCAUGGGCCACAAUCAUGCAGGCAAGCAACACUGUUCCGACCCUUAGAACACGGCAACAGCUUCUGGCCAUAUUUGGAAUUAAGUGUGAGUCUGCACCACGGCCAGCAAGGUCCUGCUCCCUCACACGGGCACCCCCCUCACACGGGCUCCCUGGCACCGUCUGGGUCCCCUGACUCAGGGUCAGUCAGCCCCACCUGCCCUCUCAGCUGGAGGCAGUCGGGUCUCCAUCCCACAGGCCACGCCUCCAGCCCAGUCUGGUCCAGACCAAGGAGCACCAGUGGCUGGGCCCCACCGUCUGCUGCCCAGCCCAGUGCCCGGCCCUGGGGGAGGCCUGGGCAUCGUCGUGGAUACACUUGGGGAGACUGGGAGAAAGUACCUUCAGAUAUUUAAAGUGCUCCCUUUACAAUGUGAGGUUGCAGCUGAUGUAAAUGGAAAACGAGAUAGAGCUUUCUCUGUUUUUUGCAAGGCAUCUCCUUAGCGGGCAAGUUUCCAUUUCUUUCUAUGAAUGGAUCAGUCUUAGUUUCAUUUGUCUACUCCGCAGGGCUCUACCAGUAAGCUGGCUCCCUGACCGCUUCCACGUUAAAUUUGGGUCUUUUCUCCCGGGCUCUUCGGGACACACCUGAGCUAAUGAGUGUGGAGGGACAGCAACUAGCCAAAGGCGGGAGCAGCUGAGCGUGCUUACCUGGAGGGGCUGUGGUCCUCGCGGCUUCAGUGCCUUCCAGGUCUUGGAGUGGUUCUGCUCCCAAAAGAGAGACAGGUAAGUGUCGACCCCAGCCUGCCCCACCUGCUCCGAGGCAGCUCCCACCCACCAGGCCCCGGGGCCAUGUGGUCUUUGCUCUGCCCCUGGCCACCUCCCGGGACAACAGCUGAGCCAAAAAGAGACCCCAGCUUCACCACCCCUUCCCCUCACACAGAGGCUUGCUGGGAAACUCAACUGCAGGUGAGUCUGUUGAAAUCUCUUUUUUUAACAGAGAAAAAUGUGGAAGAAUUGAGUCCCUUUGCUUGCUGUGUGGCCCCAGGAAGGCUGCUGAGCCUGUUUCUCUGCAAAAUGAGUUUGUUGCUUUAACAGUAGUUAAGCUCGCACUGCGUUGCAGACCGAGUGAUCGAGUUCCCCCAGGUUCCAUGUUGGCACCCCAGCCCCCAAUGUGGUGUCAGCAGGUCAUGAGGGUGGGGUCCUCGCGAAUAGGAUGAGAGCCCUGUAAAGAGACCCCAGCGAGCUCCCGCUCCCUUCCACCUGGGAGGGCACAGCAGGAAGACGGCUGGUAUCUGUCAGAAGCAGCCCUCACCAGACACCAGAUCUGCUGGUGCCUCCACCUCGGACUUGCAGCCUCCAGAACUAUGAGAAAUACGUUUCUAUUGUUUCUAAGCCACCAGUCUCUGGCAUUUUGUUCCAGCAGCUGAACGGGCUAGGCUUACUAUACACCAGGUACAGCACUAAGCGCUAUGCUCAGAUUAACUUCAUAACAACCCCAUGAGUUAGUGCAAUGCCCUCCCUCCUUCAGUGAUGAGAAAGGUGACCUGCAGAAGAGUGAGGUCACUUGCUCAAGGUCAUAGGGCUAGAAAGUGGCAGACUGCAAACCCAGGUCACCUGCUAGCAUUGACCCUGGGAGCCACUUCACUAGGCUACAGUUUCACUGCUGGCUGAACCACAAAGACCAGAGAUGGUCACUCCUUCCAGAAUGCUCUGGAAAGGAAGGAACUGCCUGGAACUGUCCGAGAUCAGGAUUAUGCUGGUGUGAUGUGACCGUCAGGCUUAGACGUGCACUGAUGGGACGCAGAUGCUCCAGCCAAGGGUCUGAGGCGUCUGAGCUGGGGCAAAGUGCACGGAUUCAGAGGUAAAGGGAUCCACGCUGUGCCCCAGGCAGACGACUCUACCACUUGGAGCUUUUCCUUUACCUGUAAAAUGGGGGUGAAAAUGGGCCUCCCAGAACCAGGGAGAAUAACUCAGAGAAUGUUGUAUGCAGGGGCGUAGACACAUGCUACCACAUCUGCCCUUUAACCAUUCUCAGUAACAAGUAGAUAGUCAUUACCAGUGAUUUUUCUUAGUAAUAAAGAAUCCAUGGUUAUUAAUCACAAGCCAAGUAAAGGGUUAGGACAGCUUUCUCCAUCUUAGUAUUUCUUGGCUUAGUAUUUUAGGUAAGGGGCUGUUCUCCGCGAGUCACUGUCAGGUAAUGGGAAGAAAAGUCUUAGCCUCACAUCGGGGGUUAGAAACCAGAACAAAUCACUUGCUGGAUGACUUGGAACUUUAACCCCCAGAGCCUCAGUUUCCUGAUUUAUUUGCAAAGGGUUAAUUUCCUCUGGGCUCUAAACACGAGUAUUUAUUUAGGUGGCGUUUCUCCGGGAUUCUGUGCUGUCCUCUGAAGGUCCCUCUACUUACCUGUCCUGGAACGAGUGGUCAGCUGACUCGUCUUGGGGGGCGUGGCCAGCUGGUCAGCUCUGGUGUCAGCAGACACUGUGAAGAGAAAUCAACCGAUUGUCAGUCAGUGAUCAGUUACCAGUCCAGCUCAGCACCUUGGCCAGGCCAGGAUCACCUGCAAACAAAACGGGUUUGGGAGCUGAGUGAUAAGGAGAGAAGGCCCACAGCCAUCUGAUCAGGGAGUAAGUUGUCCACUCAUUGGUGCUCAAUUCUGUUCCCAUUCAGUGGGUGAGGGGCCAGAUUGGAGGCAGUCCUGUGUUCAGAGAAUCCAGCAAAUGGGAGAAAGAGCCAGCAUUGGGCCUGAUGGACCAAGUCCUUGUGGGAAGGCAGCCUGAGAGGGAGUUGCUUCCUGGAGUAAAGGGAAGACCCGCUGGAGGCCUCGAAUCCCAGCCCCACCCCUCGGCUCUGUCCUGGACAGCCUCCUUCUCCAGUUCAAUGUACCAGCUCAACAUGAAGGUUAUAGCAGUUACUUCCUAACGUUGUGUGAGCAUUAAGGGUUAUACAUUCUGAGCAAGCUGUCUAGUGUCCUGCAUGUGCCUUGAUGGUAUGUGCUGAUUUUUAAAGUUCCACUGGAAUUUCUGGAAGAAGAUGCCAGCCCAGAAUCUUCCCACGCUCUCCAUCAUGUAAUCCUCUGCCACCCUGAAGUCAGGUGUAAUCAUCCCUUUCCAGGGGAUGGCAAACUAGGGGCUGGCCCUUAACCUGUUUGUAUAAAUAAAGUUUUAUUGGCACACAGCCACAGCCAUGCA